rnacentral:lncRNA from 1 species
AUAGAUGGAGCAUUGUUUGUGGAUUACAUUUUACAUCAUGAAAAAGAUGGCAUCAGAACAGGAAGUCAAAUGUUGGAACAUGUGGAAAUAGUCUUGUUGUAAUUUUGAUAUAUAUAAAUACUUUGUUAGAGAGUAAAAGUUUAAUACAGUGAGAUCAAAUAUAGACAUAGUAUGUAUGAAAUUCUUAUAUUCUUGCUCAUUUACAAUUUAUAUAUAUUUAUAAGUUAUAUAGAUUUAAAAAGAUUUUUGUUUAUAUUAAACAGGUAUUCAGAUCAUUAUAUAUUGGUCAAAGCAAUAGCUUGAAUAAGUGAUUUAGAAACCAGCCUUCCAACACACAUUUUUUAGUUUUAACCAAUUUGAAUUUCUUUGACUACAGUUAUUCUGUGUCAGAAACCUGUUACAUGUAUGUGUAAAAUAUUUAAUAACAAUUCAAAUUCUGAUCUGUAUUAAGCGCCAAUAUUGUGUCCAUUUUUGCCCCAUCAGCUCAGGGUUGGACCUCUGCGGUGGUAUCCAGCUGGAAGAAUUAUUUGAAUGAAAGUUAAUAAACCAAUGAAACUUGAGCACUUGUCUGCUUAUGAUGCACAUUUUUUUCAUAAGACUUAAAAAAUGUACAUACUUCAUGUCUUUAUAAAUACUAAAUGCUAUUUAGAAAGAAACAUAUACUAGACAGCAAACAAACAAUAAAAUGUAAUUUGAUGAUAGUCGGGGAUGAAAUUGUGUUAUGUUUAAAAGGGGGCUCGCGGGUCUAAAUCAUUUUUAUUUUAUUUGAUAUAGGAUUUCGCUAUAUUUUUCUAUAAAUGAGCUUAAUCUUAUACUUAAUAAUAAAAUUAUUAAAAAAUGGGGUCACCGUGCAUUUACGCUCACAAUUUUUGUAAAGGUACCUUUUUUCUGUUGAACUAAUAGGAGAAAUAGAGGUACAUUUUUAUGUAAUAUUGAAAUUAAAAAAAAAACUUUAUUACAGGAAUUGCUCAAAUUUUACAAAGUACAGCUUAUUUAAAAAUUAUAAUAAAAAAUACAGGUCACCGAUGAGUUAAAAAAAAAUAUUUCAAUUUUAAUGCCAAAAAUUGGCAUUUUUGCACCAAAGGGAGAUAAUUUGGAGCUUUUUCAAUAAUAUCUACAUUUUAAAAGUCAUGAAAAAUAAAUGUUAAUUUUUUUCUGAAAUUUUUAUACCCUCGAGCCUCCGUAAGGUACUUAUUUUGUACUUAAUAUUAUAUGUUUUGAUUUUUCAGAUUUGCUCCCAAAGUUAAGUCAUGACAGCGACAAAAGAACCAUAAUCUAAUACUGAAAUGGACUGAAUGUUGAAGAGUGUUACAUGACUGCAUGAUUCAUAUUCUCUAGAAAUAAUAAGGAGCUACACAAUCCAUGGAAUCCCAAGUCAAAUGAAUAGAGGCAUGGAUAUAUCACUACUGAUGAUGUGACACUUGAUAUUAAAAUGCUA